UGGGGAAUAUUGCACAAUGGGCGAAAGCCUGAUGCAGCAACGCCGCGUGAGUGAUGAAGGCCUUCGGGUUGUAAAGCUCUGUCUUUUGGGACGAUAAUGACGGUACCAAAGGAGGAAGCCACGGCUAACUACGUGCCAACAGCCGCGGUAAUACGUAGGUGGCAAGCGUUGUACGGAUUUACUGGGCGUAAAGGAUGCGUAGGCGGAUUUUUAAGUGAGAUGUGAAAUACCCGGGCUUAACUUGGGUGCUGCAUUUCAAACUGGGAAUCUAGAGUGCGGGAGAGGAGAAUGGAAUUCCUAGUGUAGCGGUGAAAUGCGUAGAGAUUAGGAAGAACACCAGUGGCGAAGGCGAUUCUCUGGACCGUAACUGACGCUGAGGCAUGAAAGCGUGGGUAGCAAACAGGAUUAGAUACCCUGGUAGUCCACGCCGUAAACGAUGAGUACUAGGUGUAGGAGGUAUCGACCCCUUCUGUGCCGCAGUUAACACAAUAAGUACUCCGCCUGGGAAGUACGAUCGCAAGAUUAAAA
rnacentral:rRNA from 1 species